CACAAUGAAGAAAACAUUGAAUUAGGAAGUGCCGUCUUAUGCGACAACUGACGAUUUUCAGUUUCAGAGUGAUG